rnacentral:misc_RNA from 1 species
GGCUCACCAUACUGGUUUUCACCGGUUCGCCAUUAUGGAAUCCGGUGCGGUGCUUCACAUCUACGCCGUAGGCGGAGGUAUCUUGCGAAAUCACCAGAAUCUCUUUGACCCCGGCAUCAACCAGACGUUUCGCUUCGCUUAAUACGUCGCCAAUCGGACGGCUGACCAGAUCCCCGCGCAUCGACGGGAUGAUGCAGAACGUGCAGCGGUGAUUACAGCCUUCAGAAAUUUUCAGAUACGCAUAAUGGCGCGGCGUCAGUUUUACACCCUGUUCCGGUACGAGGCUUAAAAAUGGAUUGUGCUUCGGCUUCGGUACGUAAUGAUGUACGUGCUGCAGAACUUGCUC